UAUGUACUCCCUCCGUUCGGAAUUAGUUGUCGCAAAAAUAGAUGUAUCUAGAUGUAUUUUAGUUCUAGAUACAUCCAUUUCCGAGACAAGUAAUUCCGAACGGAGGGAGUAUAUC
rnacentral:pre_miRNA from 1 species